CGCGGCAGAAGGUCGCAUAAAAAGAAGGAAAAGGAUGAGCCUCGACGUGCAAAAACAACCAUUAAAUGGACGAAGGACGAGGAAUACACGUUGAGUCGGGCGUGGCUCGAUAUUUCGGAGGACGAAGAUACCGCAAACUUUCAAACGGGCCCCGUUUUUUGGGAUAGGGUGCGUGCACUCUUUUAUAGCUCGUGGGGUCAAGGCGAACAUCGGGACAAGGAUUCAAUUUCUAGCAAAUGGACCGACAUCAACAACAAAUGUCACGCGUUUCAAGAAGUUUACCAACGAAACUACGAUAAUCGCCCGAGCG
rnacentral:lncRNA from 1 species